ACGGAAGGCAGCAGUGAGGAAUAUUGGUCAAUGGGCGGAAGCCUGAACCAGCCAUGUCGCGUGCAGGACUACGGCCCUACGGGUCUUAAACUGCUUUUGCAAGGGGGUAAAGUGGGGCACGCGUGCCCCUUUGCAGGUACCUUGCGAAUAAGGAUCGGCUAACUCCGUGCCAGCAGCCGCGGUAAUACGGAGGAACCGAGCGUUAUCCGGAUUUAUUGGGUUUAAAGGGUGCGUAGGCGGGCUGGUAAGUCAGAGGUGAAACCCCCGGGCUCAACCCGGGGACUGCCAUUGAAACUGGCGGCCUUGAGUACGUUGGGGGUGAGCGGAAUGUGUGGUGUAGCGGUGAAAUGCAUAGAUAUCACACAGAACACCGAUCGCGUAGGCAGCGCACUACGCCGCAACUGACGCUCAUGCACGAAAGUGCGGGGAUCGAACAGGAUUAGAUACCCUGGUA
rnacentral:rRNA from 1 species